UACGUAGGGACCGAGCGUUGUCCGGAAUCAUUGGGCGUAAAGAGCGUGUAGGCGGCUUGCUAAGUCUUGCGUGAAAUCUCGGGGCUCAACCCCGAGCGGUCGUGGGAAACUGGCAGGCUAGAGUGCGGGAGAGGAGAAUGGAGUUCCUGGUGUAGCGGUGAAAUGCGCAGAUAUCAGGAAGAACACCCGUGGCGAAGGCGGUUCUCUGGAACGCAACUGACGCUGAGACGCGAAAGCGUGGGGAGCAAACAGG
rnacentral:rRNA from 1 species